CAUGCCUUUAACAGUCUGAGUUUAAACCAGGGCAUGGAGAUGGUGCUGUGCUGUGGUUGGCUCAAGUUAUGGCAAGAAGGAUUUCUCAACCAUUCCUGGAAGAGUCCAGAAUAACGCCCAAGAAACAGACAAGUCAUGGGAGUGGACCUGUAUUCAGUAUCUGAACCAAGAUUUGGCUGGUGUCUGGUGUCUCAAUCAGUCCUGGAACUGGAGCCAAGUCUGGCUUCAUCUAGGACUGAUGUUGAUGGUAAUUACUUAUUACCUGAAGGCCCUGGCAGAUAUGAGAUCCCAUUCUCCUUACUUUCUGAUUAGCUCACAGCUUUCUGUGAGUGAGAGGUUGUACAACACUGGAGGCAACAACUAUAGUCCUUUAUUCCACUGCAAAGGUGUCAGUCAUCUGCAUGAUUCAAAUACACGCUGUGAACAAGUGCUACUGGAGAACCCUGUCAGAUGAGACUAUGCUGAAGCUGACUGUAGAUAUGUGUCUUCUUUGGAAUACCUGCUGGCUCAGAGUACAGAUGGCUCUACCCGCUCUGCCUGUCCCAGUCUCCCCUCCUGCCCAGGACCCCAGGAUCCUAGGUCAGUCCCAGGGCUGCAGGGCCCACCUCAAGCGGG
ensembl:lncRNA